rnacentral:rRNA from 1 species
AGCGUAUAUUAAAGUUGUUGCAGUUAAAAAGCUCGUAGUUGAAUUUCGGGGUCAGUAGGUCGGUCGUGCCACUGGUAUGAACUGGUUUUACUGAUUCCUCCCUCUUGAAGAACUGUAAUGCCAUUAAUUUGGUGUUGCAGGGAAUCAGGACUGUUACUUUGAAAAAAUUAGAGUGUUUAAAGCAGGCUUUAGCUUGAAUACAUUAGCAUGGAAUAAUGAGAUAGGACGUUUGAACCUAUUUUGUUGGUUUCUAGGAUCGACGUAAUGAUUAAUAGGGAUAGUUGGGGGCAUUAGUAUUCAAUUGUCAGAGGUGAAAUUCUUGGAUUUAUUGAAGACUAACUACUGCGAAAGCAUUUGCCAAGGUUGUUUUCAUUAAUCAAGAACGAAAGUUAGGGGAUCGAAGACGAUCAGAUACCGUCGUAGUCUUAACCAUAAACUAUGCCGACUAGGGAUCGGAUGAUGUUAAUUUUUUAAUGACUCAUUC